UUGGAUCAUGUCACAGGCAGAUUUACCAUUCUGCCCCGAAUACAUUAGCAUGGGAUAAUGGAAUAGGACCCUGUCCUCCUAUUUACGUGUUGGUUUUUGAGGACCAGGGUAAUGAUUAAUAGGGAUAGUUGGGGGCAUUAAUAUUUAAUUGUCACAGGUGAAAUUCUUGGAUUUAUGAAAAAUAACCUUCAGCCAACGCCUACCGCGACGACGUUUUCCUUCCUCACCAACGAGCGUCUCCAAAUCGAAAACAACCACUCACCGCCCAUAUCUUAUCCCUCAACAUCAGCCCCUCCCUCGUUCAUACAACUAUGACCAACAACUCCCACCAUAUCCCCUCCACCCUACAAUACCCACCCAUCUACUCUAACCUAAAUUCUCUCUCCCCUUCUCUCACCCUCCAUCUAACUUCUCCACACCCCCUACAAACCAUUCAUCUUUUCCCUCCAUUCC
rnacentral:rRNA from 1 species